UAACAAGACAAAAGGGAAUCCUAUGGCAUUCUAUAAGGUUUUGCCACAAUCCAUUGGGGCAAUGAAACCAUGGAUACACCAAUUAGUUGAUGUAUAGCCUUUUUUAUAGGUUUGGUAGGAAAUUUUUUUGUUUAAAUGUAAUUAUUUAAAAUAGUUUGUUCGUACCAAAAAAACAUUUGUACUAACAAUUAAAGCAAUAUUAGUAAGUGUUUAUUUCUAUUAAAGCGUUCAUCUUUCUUCCA